rnacentral:rRNA from 1 species
AACGUAGGUGGCGAGCGUUAUCCGGAAUUACUGGGCGUAAAGCGCGCGUAGGUGGCCCGGUAAGUCCGCUCUGAAAGUCAAAGGCUCAACCUUUGAAAGCGGGUGGAUACUGUCGGGCUAGAGUCCGGAAGAGGCGAGUGGAAUUCCUGGUGUAGCGGUGGAAUGCGCAGAUAUCAGGAGGAACACCAACGGCGAAGGCAGCUCGCUGGGACGGUACUGACACUAAGGCGCGAAAGCGUGGGGAGCGAACAGG